GGCGGAUGUAGCCAAGGGGAUCAGGGCAGG
rnacentral:tRNA from 1 species